GUUGCUCAGAAUAUUGAAGUGAAGCAUCCCUGGAAGUUGUAGAUCUGAUGUUAUGAUCGGAGUGUAAUUGUUUUUGGCAAUGAUUUGGAGUAGAUCUUAUUGCUUCAGAAGACUUGCUACUGCUUUUCCUUAGCUCAUUAACAUCCAAAGCAAUAUCAGUUGUGGAGGGUGGUUUACGAGGCAGCCCUUCCUCUUCAGCUACCUUCUCAAAGCAACCAAUCCCUCCAGCUUGUUUGAUUUCC
rnacentral:misc_RNA from 1 species